rnacentral:rRNA from 1 species
UACGUAUGGUGCGAGCGUUGUCCGGAUUUACUGGGCGUGAAGGGGGCGCAGGCGGAUCGUUAAGUCAGUGGUCAAAUUGAGGGGCUCAACCCCUUCCCGCCAUUGAAACUGGCGAUCUUGAGUGGAAGAGAAGUAUGCGGAAUGCGUGGUGUAGCGGUGAAAUGCAUAGAUAUCACGCAGAACCCCGAUUGCGAAGGCAGCAUGCCGGCUUCCGACUGACGCUGAAGCACGAAAGCGUGGGGAUCGAACAGG